UACGUAGGGGGCUAGCGUUGUCCGGAAUCAUUGGGCGUAAAGAGCGCGUAGGCGGCCAGAUAAGUCCGGUGUGAAAGUCACAGGCUCAACCUGUGAAUGCCGCUGGAAACUGUCUGGCUAGAGUCCGGAAGGGGCGAGUGGAAUUCCUGGUGUAGCGGUGAAAUGCGCAGAUAUCAGGAGGAACACCAAUGGCGAAGGCAGCUCGCUGGAACGGUACUGACGCUGAGGCGCGAAAGCUAGGGGAGCAAACGGG
rnacentral:rRNA from 1 species